CCAAGCCGAAAGGCGGAGCUAAUCCCAACAAACCUCGUCUCAGUCCGGAUUGAGGGCUGCAACUCGCCCUCAUGAAGCCGGAAUCGCUAGUAAUCGCCAAUCAGAUAUGUGGCGAUGAAUACGUUCCUGAGUCUUGUACUCACCGCCCGUCACGUCAAGCGAGCUGGGAGUACCCGAAGCGCCAAGCAAUUGGAACUAAGGUAAGCUCAGUAAGAGGGACGAAGUCGUAACAAGGCACGCGUAGCGGAAGCUGUGCGUGGAUCAUAUCAUUU
rnacentral:rRNA from 1 species